CACACACACACACACACACACACACACAGUGCUCUCUCACACAUACUCUCUCACACACACACACACACACCAGAGGUCCACUCCCCCUCAGAGCUUUUUAGCGGCUGUCCUCCAUUAAAUCCACAUCAAAGGCUCCUCGAGGAGCCAGUCGGUGGGCGUGACCGGAGCAUUCCACAUGAGAACGCGCGGAUGAACUUCCACAGAACGCUGGCGGAACGCUCCGUGUACGCUUCGCGUGCGUUUGUCCAGAAAGGGGCCGCAACAAGUCCGCCACCCCCAGGCGUGAACCGGGGAGCAGUUAAGGGGGAGCAGAUGCUCCUCAGAGAGGAUCAGGGGUUCGACUCGAGGGGCCGUGGGACAGACAGACCCCCUCCCUUCCCCAGCCUGGUCGAGGUGGCAGUGGCAGUGGCAGUGGUAGUGGCAGUGGCGGGGGCAGGUGACAGGAAGUGUAAGAAGCUCCAUGUUUUUCAUUUAAAUUUGGCAUCUCCAAUCCCACCCGAAUUUGGAAUGUCGCUCUCUGCUGCUGGCUUGGAGGAGUGAAGACAAAUUGUGGUUCUCCUCUGGAAACAGCCAGCUGCUUCUUUUCGCAAUAUGCGUGUGCGGAGAACAAGCCAUGUUCACCCGGACAGCCAACAGUAGCCGCUGGAGCAGUGAACACUGCUAUCGCUGCCAACUGAAUCCUCCCCAUUCCUGCAGCUAGUCAGCACUGACACGGGUCAGAUUUGAUUCAAGACUGUUGUGCUCAUUCAUGCAUUGCAAGUGGUAUGUUCAUAGAGUGAGCUACUAAAAAAAUCCUUCUUUUUUACAGUCUGCAGAAGACUUCAUGAACAGAACUGCAGAACUACAGAGGCUACACUGCAGGAUGCAAACGACUAGUUUGCCACAAAAAAAGGAAAUGCCUGAAAGAGCCUGCAGAGUUCUAGCACAAGAGAACACUUAAGACAACUCGACCCCAAAACAAGCAGGAGCUGAAGAUGGCAUCAUCAGAGAAGUCUGGGUCACAGACUUUAAGGGGGGGAGUGGGGGUAUUUCUACAUGGGGAAACCAGAGUGCAUAAAAUACCCCUAAAUACAAGCUGAGAAUGUGCACUUCUCCCUCAUAUGAAUUGUUUCAUUACAAAUCUAAUAUAUUGUGGAGUACAGAACUAAACCAAGAAAAAAAAUAGGUCUUUGCCCCAAACAUUAUGGAGAUCACUAUAUUUUUAGAAUGAUACGUUUUUAAAACUUUUGAUUUUAUUUGCAACAGCAUAACUUCUCUGGCAUUGUAUAUAAUGUGAAUCGCUAACCGUGUAAUGCUGCAUCAAUGCAUAAAUUGUUUAGACAAUUCAAAAAUAUUCAACUUUAUAACUGAAAUAAACAAUGCAUGCCGGAACAGCGUUUAUUUAGAUUUGAGUGCCUGUGAUAUUUUCCCUCAAAGUUGUUCUGUAAACCUUAAAACCACCUGUUAUGGAGGGCAACCCAGA